CCUACGGGUGGCAGCAGUGAGGAAUAUUGGUCAAUGGACGCAAGUCUGAACCAGCCAUGCAGCGUGCAGGAUGACUGCUCUAUGGGUUGUAAACUGCUUUUAUACGAGGGUAAACUGAGAUACGCGUAUCUUUCUGAAAGUAUCUUAUGAAUAAGGAUCGGCUAACUCCGUGCCAGCAGCCGCGGUAAUACGGAGGAUUCAAGCGUUAUCCGGAUUUAUUGGGUUUAAAGGGUGCGUAGAUGGGUGGAUAAGUUAGUGGUGAAAUUCCGAGGCUCAACUGCGGAAUUGCAUUUGAUACUGUUAGUCUUGAGUAUAGUUGCGGUAGGCGGAAUGUAUGGUGUAGCGGUGAAAUGCUUAGAGAUCAUACAGAACACCGAUUGCGAAGGCAGCUUACCAAGCUACUUCUGACAUUGAGGCACGAAAGCGUGGGUAGCAAACAGGAUUAGAUACCCCUGUAGUC
rnacentral:rRNA from 1 species